rnacentral:rRNA from 2 species
GAGUGGCGGACGGGUGAGUAACACGUGGGUAACCUGCCCUAAAGUGGGGGAUAACAUUUGGAAACAGAUGCUAAUACCGCAUAAAACCUAGCACCGCAUGGUGCAAGGUUGAAAGAUGGUUUCGGCUAUCACUUUAGGAUGGACCCGCGGUGCAUUAGUUAGUUGGUGAGGUAAAGGCUCACCAAGACCGUGAUGCAUAGCCGACCUGAGAGGGUAAUCGGCCACACUGGGACUGAGACACGGCCCAGACUCCUACGGGAGGCAGCAGUAGGGAAUCUUCCACAAUGGACGAAAGUCUGAUGGAGCAACGCCGCGUGAGUGAAGAAGGUUUUCGGAUCGUAAAACUCUGUUGUUGGAGAAGAACGUAUUUGAUAGUAACUGAUCAGGUAGUGACGGUAUCCAACCAGAAAGCCACGGCUAACUACGUGCCAGCAGCCGCGGUAAUACGUAGGUGGCAAGCGUUGUCCGGAUUUAUUGGGCGUAAAGCGAGCGCAGGCGGUUUCUUAAGUCUGAUGUGAAAGCCUUCGGCUCAACCGAAGAAGUGCAUCGGAAACUGGGAAACUUGAGUGCAGAAGAGGACAGUGGAACUCCAUGUGUAGCGGUGAAAUGCGUAGAUAUAUGGAAGAACACCAGUGGCGAAGGCGGCUGUCUGGUCUGUAACUGACGCUGAGGCUCGAAAGCAUGGGUAGCAAACAGGAUUAGAUACCCUGGUAGUCCAUGCCGUAAACGAUGAGUGCUAGGUGUUGGAGGGUUUCCGCCCUUCAGUGCCGCAGCUAACGCAUUAAGCACUCCGCCUGGGGAGUACGACCGCAAGGUUGAAACUCAAAGGAAUUGACGGGGGCCCGCACAAGCGGUGGAGCAUGUGGUUUAAUUCGAAGCAACGCGAAGAACCUUACCAGGUCUUGACAUCCUUUGACCACUCUAGAGAUAGAGCUUUCCCUUCGGGGACAAAGUGACAGGUGGUGCAUGGUUGUCGUCAGCUCGUGUCGUGAGAUGUUGGGUUAAGUCCCGCAACGAGCGCAACCCUUAUUACUAGUUGCCAGCAUUUAGUUGGGCACUCUAGUGAGACUGCCGGUGACAAACCGGAGGAAGGUGGGGACGACGUCAAAUCAUCAUGCCCCUUAUGACCUGGGCUACACACGUGCUACAAUGGAUGGUACAACGAGUCGCGAGACCGCGAGGUUUAGCUAAUCUCUUAAAACCAUUCUCAGUUCGGAUUGUAGGCUGCAACUCGCCUACAUGAAGCCGGAAUCGCUAGUAAUCGCGGAUCAGCAUGCCGCGGUGAAUACGUUCCCGGGCCUUGUACACACCGCCCGUCACACCAUGAGAGUUUGUAACACCCAAAGCCGGUGA